rnacentral:tRNA from 1 species
GCCUGGGUGGCUCAGAGGUUUGGCGCCUGCCUUCAGCCCAGGGUGUGAUCCUGGAGACUUGGGAUCGAGUCCCACUUCAGGCU